GACGAACGCUGGCGGCGUGCUUAACACAUGCAAGUCGAACGGAAAGGCCCUGCUUGCAGGGUACUCGAGUGGCGAACGGGUGAGUAACACUUGGGUGAUCUGCCCUGCACUUCGGGAUAAGCCUGGGAAACUGGGUCUAAUACCGGAUAGGAGCCAUUUUUAGUGUGAUGGUUGGAAAGUUUUUUCGGUGUAGGAUGAGCUCGCGGCCUAUCAGCUUGUUGGUGGGGUAAUGGCCUACCAAGGCGGCGACGGGUAGCCGGCCUGAGAGGGUGGACGGCCACAUUGGGACUGAGAUACGGCCCAGACUCCUACGGGAGGCAGCAGUGGGGAAUAUUGCACAAUGGGCGCAAGCCUGAUGCAGCGACGCCACGUGGGGGAUGACGGCCUUCGGGUUGUAAACUCCUUUCGCUAGGGACGAAGCUUUUGUGACGGUACCUAGAUAAGAAGCACCGGCUAACUACGUG
rnacentral:rRNA from 1 species